UACGGAGGAUGCAAGCGUUAUCCGGAAUGAUUGGGCGUAAAGCGUCCGCAGGUGGCUAUGUAAGUCUGCUGUUAAAGAGUGAGGCUCAACCUCAUAAGAGCAGUGGAAACUACAUGGCUAGAGUGCGUUCGGGGCAGAGGGAAUUCCUGGUGUAGCGGUGAAAUGCGUAGAGAUCAGGAAGAACACCGGUGGCGAAGGCGCUCUGCUAGGCCGUAACUGACACUGAGGGACGAAAGCUAGGGGAGCGAAUGGG
rnacentral:rRNA from 1 species